UAAGUCUCGCCCUUCUUCUCUGUGUCUGCAGCAGUGUUGUGGGUGUAGUGACAUGCCGACAUGAAGGGAAAAGCGCCACUUUAUGCAGCAUGAGUCUGUGUAGUUCAAUACGGGAAAAGUACUGAAUAUAAGUUUGCAACAUAUCGUCCUGCAGUAUAGUUUCACCGUUUAUCAACAGGAGGGCUGCCUUCUUCUCUCCAGCUCCUCUCCUAUUGGUCAAUAUACAGGAAGGAGGAGGAUCCAUGUGCAGGCCGAGGGUGUGUCCCAAUUCAGGGGCUGGAUCCUUCCAAGUGCCUAAUUGUGGGCUAAUUACAUCACAGCACGGCGCGUAAGGUCUGUCAGAUGCUGCCGACAAAUGUGUCCUUCUUUUGCCCGAUUUGAAGGAUGACUUGUGAGUAUCCUUCGCGGUCCAUCUUUUCCCAUGAUUCAUUGCGGGUCGAAGCGGUUUGGUCAAAUAGGGGCAGCAUUGGCGGACCACACUAGCAAAAGCUGGACAAAGGAGCAGACGGGUCAGUAAUGGUGUGGGGUGGCAUCUCUUUCCGUGUGCUCGCC